CAGGAAUGUGAGGCUACCAGAUAGAGCUCAGUCUACAUGAAAGGCUAAGACCAGGGAAAGGAAAUAGUAUUCUGAUCCCAUAGGCGUAUUUCACCAAUAAUCUUUGGUGCAAGGAAGAAAAUUCCUGCCAUAUGUGUUCACCUGAAGAAAAUAUACUUCUGGCUUUUCUAAAGAACAGAAAGAAUAAUUAAAAGCAAAUACUUCCUUUGAGCCACAUGCUUUUUAAUAUGAAUGUCUGGUAGCAGCUCCUAAUCUAAUCUGAAGAUCUGAUUCAAGGGUAGAGGGUGCAGUCCAUGAAUGACAGAUCAUCAAUCGCAAUAUCUCCAGUGAAGCCAUCUCCCACUGAAGCCUCC